AACGGCUUCUAAAGGGCGGAGCUUCCCAAACUCAGAGUCCUGUUACUGAACGCUGGAGAUUUUGGGAGUGAAGGAACAGCUCAAGUCAUUUUCUCUUUGCAGGUUUCUUCGCACAUCUAAAGGACGCACGCUUCGUUCGCCUCAACGCGCAGGGUCACGCUCUCAGAAUUGAAGCAUGGAUGAUGAUUUCGAGCGGCGCAGGGAGCUCAGGAGACAGAAGCGGGAGGAGAUGCGUCUGGAAGCCGAGAGGAUGGCAUAUCGCCGGAAUGAGGAGGAUGAGGAAGAGGCGGCUCGUGAGCGCAGACGAAGAGCGCGGCAGGAGAGAAUGCGCAGCAAGGACAGCGAGGAUGUGGCGUACCAACCCGAGACCCCCGAGCUCAACAACAGCCACAGCGUGACAGUGACAGAGAGCGUAUCCACCUCAGUGGUGACUUCCAGCGGGACAGGCGAGGGGGACGAUGAGGAGCAGGCCCUGCUGGAGCGCUUGGCCAAGAGAGAGGAGCGCAGGCAGAGGAGGAUGAAGGAGGCGCUGGACAGACAGGAGGAGCCGGAGAGCACCAGAGGCCGGAGCUACGAGCCAGAGGAGGAGCACAACAGCAAGGAGGAGGUCAAACAGGCGGAGGAGGAGGAGGAGGAGGUCGUCACCAGAGAGGAGGUGCUGGUGGAGGAAAAGCCCCGGAGGUCUUAUUUCAGAGAACAGGAAUCCGUUGAAGAAAUAUCUAAAAUACCUGAGGAGGACGAUAAUGAGCAAGAUGCUGUGCCUUCUUCUGAAGUACAUGAGGUGCUUGUAAAUGAAGACGUAGAUGAUUCCGCAGUUGUUUCGGAGGUGGAAAAGAGUGAGAUAGAGGGAUUGACAGAGAAUGGAGUGGAUGAGAUGAGAGAGGCAGAAAACUUUGAGAAAUAUGAGGUUUCAGAAAAUGACGAGUGUUUGAUGGAAGAUGAAGAUGUGAUGAGGAAGAAUAAACAGCCCAAUGGAGGAGUGUGCGAGGACAGCACUCCCAAACACAAGAAAGCUGAGAGAACUUUCAGCCGAGGCAGCUUGCGCUCUCCUGAGGCGCCGGAGGCAGACGAGGCAGACAGCGAGGAUGCUCGCUUGGAAGCCGAGAGAAAGCUGGAGGAACUGAAGAGGAGAAGAGAUGAGAUGGAGAGCGAGGAGUUCGAGAGGAUGAGGCAGAAACAGCAGGAGGCCGAGGUGGAGCUGGAGGAGCUGAAGAGGAAGAGGGAGGAGAGGAGGAAGGUGCUGGAAGAGGAGGAGCGGCGGAGGAAGCAGGAGGAGGCCGAGAGGAAAGCCAGAGAGGAGGAGGAAAAGAGGAGGAUGAAGGAGGAGAUCGAGAAGAGAAGAGCAGAGGCGGCUGAGAAGAGGCAGAAAGUGGAGGAUUCGGUGGACGGAGAAGCCAGGAAGCCCUUUAAGUGUGUCAGUCCCAGAGGAUCCUCCCUGAAGAUCGGUGAGAGGGCAGAAUUUCUCAACAGAUCAGCACAGAAGAGUUCUGUGAAGGCGUCUCACUCUCCUGUGGUGUCCAAGAUUGAUAACCGAUUAGAGCAGUACACCAGCGCCGUGCAGGGCAACAGAGAGGUCAGAUCUCCCAGAUCAGCUGCCAUAGAUCUUCCCAUGGUGACGGACGGUAUUCGCAACAUUAAGAGCAUGUGGGAGAAGGGGAAUGUCUUCAGCUCUGGUGGGAGCCCAGCGUCCACCAACAAGGAUGCAGCUGGGAUAAAGGUGGGCGUGGCUGGGCGCAUCAACGAUUGGUUGAACAAAACUCCAGAGAUGGGCAAAAUGGCAGGAGGAAGACCCGCGGACCUAAAACCAGGCGACGUGACCAGCAAGCGCAAUCUAUGGGAAAACAAAGGAUCCUCUGCUACCAAGCCGUCCCCUUGCUAAUUGACUACAGAUCUGACCACCUUGAGGAGGUCACAAGCAGAGGAGAGACCAAAUCCGUCACCAAUGGAAUGGGCCAUUAACCCUUCAAAGACGCCAGAGGCAGGGACCAAGAGAAUGCACAACAUUCCUUUUUUUAAUCUUUUAUUAAUACCAAAAAAAAAUACAAGCAUUUUAUACUGCCAGGAAGAUCUAUGUGAGUAGACACAGUAUAAAAGAGAGAAAAAUUAAAAAAUAUAUAUAUUUUAUCACUGUAUUCACAGGUCACCGUCUUACACCAUCAUAACAUAAACGCAAUGCCUUUGCAUGUAACUUCUGUUAAACUGAAAUCAAGGCUGUGAAAACAAGCAAGUCAUUUGUUUAGUUUAUAUAUAACAAUUAAAUAACAGCAGCCAACUUCAAACAUUAUGAGAUUCCUUGAAAAGGAGGACGAGGAGUUGCAUUCCGAAUCUGUCAAAUCACUCAUUUUAAACAUGUUAGUUACCCUUCUCACCUGUUAAUUUAUAACUAAAGCAAAGCUUCACCUUGCAUUUCAUGCCUGUUCGCCAGUUCCAGACCGAAUAUGAGCACCGUAGUGUAGCUGUAUUUUGUACUUUUUGUCGUAACGACACUUUUUUUUAAUAAAAAUUGUCUUAAUAAUAUAUGUUAGCACAUAGUGUAAGUUUUUGUAAUUAACUAUAUAUUUUACUGCUUGAUACAAAAUGGUCUUUGCUUUUGCUCUCAAUAUUAUUUUAUAUCAAAGCAAAUUUUAAUUCAGAAGAAGUCCAUUAUAGUCACACUGAUGGCAUCAUUACAUUAUCAUUGGCUUUUUUACUCUUGGAAACACCGUUGUUUGUGACCAUCUUUUUGUAAGUGUUAAUAGUGGAAUAAUCGGUAUUGGUUAAAAAACUUAAACUCGAAAGAAAGGGAACAUGCACUUUUUGAUUUAAGUGCCCCUAUUAUUAUUAAAGCAGUGUGAGCUUUUAACGCUCCAAAAGCAGCACAUAGUGGCAAACAAUGAAUUUGCAUUUCCAAUGUGAAAAGAUCAAGUGACAUCCAAAUUUUGAUGUCAACGUGAAACGGCUUGGGACUCGUUUUAAAAGCGACACAUUUCAAUGAAUCAAAGUCAGCUCUUUCAGAGUCAAUAACUUUAUACAUAGUGCACUUUCAGAUUUUGCAGGAUGUUUUCAUUCGCUUUGAGCUGUGUUACACACUGCAUGAAAGCUCAUUUUCAAAAAAUCCAUAAUAGGGGCACUUUAAAUGUCAUAUUUGAUGAGUACAUUUCGCAAUUUUUGCAUAUAAUGCAAGGCUUUGAUUAAUCCAGAAACAUCCAUUUAGAAGAACAAAAUCAAUUCAUGUUUAUUGUUCAAGUGUUAUAUUUUCUACUUUCUGUUGCGAUCAUUCAUACUAAAUGGUAACAUGGAUGUCAUCGCCUUACAGUAGUGCUAGCCGUCAUGUAAACGCGUAUCAUUUCUGACGUCUUUUGUCAGACAAAGAAUAUCCAGUUCUGCCGCCGUAGCUUAUCGCUAAUGUCUCUAAAUGUGCAAAGUUCCUGUAUUCUGCUUGUAUUUUUUGACAAUCAAGUUUUUUUUACUAUUUGUUUCAACACUUAUGUAUUGUUUCAGAGUAACACUAUGCAAGUCGCACCACCUUUAAUUGCAAUUACCUUGUUACAAAUAUGACCGUUUUUGUAGCCAAUAGUUCCAUACAGAGCAAAUGUUUCAACUUGUAUCAUUGUCUCAGUGACCACAAUAAAGAGACCAAUGAAAAACA